UGAUGAAACUACUCCAACAAGUUCUUGUGAAGAUUGUAGCCGUGAAUGACAUGUACAAAUAGAAUUCCAACAUGCAUAGGAAACCAUGUGUCUUUCAAGAUGGUGACAUGGUUUAGGUGUAUAUGAGGAAAUGAUGUUUUACUAACAAAAGGAAGAACAAAAGUUGAUGCCAAGAGCUGUCCUUACAAGCUUUUGUAAGUGGUGUAUGGUGUGAAUCCUUAAAAGCGUUUGUAUUUGAUUCCAUUUCCAAACGAUGAAUUGGUUCACAAGUAUGCUAAUGACAAGUUGAAGGCCAUGACGAAACUACACCAACAAGCUCGUGUGAAGAUUGAAGCCGUGAAUGACAUGUACAAACAGAAUUCCAACAUGUAUAGGAAACCUCGUAUCUUACAAGAUGGUGACUUGGUUUAGGUGCAUAUGAGGAAAGAACGUUUUCUAAACAAAAGGAAGAACAAAAGUUGAUGCCAAAAGCUGAAGGUCCUUAUAAACCUUCGUAAGUGGUGUAUGGUGUGAAUCCUUACAAGCCUUUGUAUUUGAUUCCAUUUCCAAGUGAUGAAUUGGUUCACAAGGAUGCAAAUGACAAUUUGAAGGCCAUGAUGUAACUACACCAACAAGUUUGUGUGAAGAUUAAAGUUGUGAAUGACGUGUAGAAACAGAAUUCCAACAUGAAUAGGAAACCACAUGUCUUAUAUGAUGUUGACAUGGUUUAGGUGCAUAUGAGGAAAGAACGUUUUCUUAAAAAAAGGAAGAGCAAAAGUUGAUGCUAAGAGCUGAAGGUCCUUACAAAAUGGUGACACAUGUCAAUGAUAAUACAUAUAAGGUUGAUCUGGGAUGAGACCAUGGAGUGCAUGCUACCUUUAAUGUGGGAGACCUUUCACCGUAUCAUGUUGAGGAUGGCCUUGAUGAAUUAGGGUCAUGGCAAGAUGUGUUGAUGGAAUUCAGCAUGGCUUUGCCUAGAACUCAAAGGAGGAAGGAAUCCAUUAUAGUGGUGGUGGAUAGGUUUUCAAAAAUGGCUCACUUUAUGCCAUGUCAUAAAACCCAUUCAUCUAAUGUGUCUGAUUUGUACUUUAAAGAAGUGGUUCGCUUGCAUAUUAUUCCUAAAACUAUUGUUUCUGAUAGGGAUUCCUUGUUUUCGACUUACAUUUGGAACACUUUGUGGAGGAAAGUUGGUACUAAGUUAAUUUUUAGUACGUCCCAUCAUCCACAAACUGACGGGCAAACGAAGAUGACUAAUAGAACUUUGGGUAGGUUGUUGAGGGGGUUGGUUAGCAAAACUCAAAAACAGUUGGAUAUCAAACUUGCACAUGCUGAGUUUGCCGGUAAUCAUUCUCCUACUUAUGCUACAGGUCACUGUCCUUUAUAAGUGAUGUAUGGCGUGAAUCCUUAAAAGCCUUUAUAUUUGAUUCCAUUUCCAAACGAUGAAUUGGUUCACAAGGAUGCUAAUGACAAGUUGAAGGCCAUGAUGAAAGUACACCAACAAGUUCUUAUGAAGAUUCAAGACAUGAAUGACGUGUAAAAACAAAAUUCCAACAUGCAUAGGAAACCACAUGUCUUUCAAGCUGGUGACUUGGUUUAGGUGUAUAUGAGAAAAUAAUGUUUUCCUAACAAAAGGAAGAACAAAAGUUGAUGCCAAGAGCUGUCCUUACAAGCUUUUGUAAGUGGUGUAUCGUGUGAAUCCUUAAAAGCGUUUGUAUUUGAUUCCAUUUCCAAACGAUGAAUUGGUUCAUGAGUAUGCUAAUGACAAGUUGAAGGCCAUGACGAAACUACACCAAGAAGCUCGUGUGAAGGUUGAAGCCGUGAAUGACGAGUACAAACAGAAUUCCAACAUGUAUAGGAAACCACGUGUCUUUCAAGAUGGUGACUUGGUUUAGGUGCAUAUGAGGAAAGAACGUUUUCCAAACAAAAGGAAGAACAAAAGUUGAUGCCAAAAGCUGAAGGUCCUUAUAAGCCUUCGUAAGUGGUGUAUGGUGUGAAUCCUUACAAGCCUUUGUAUUUGAUUCCAUUUCCAAAUGAUGAAUUGGUUCACAAGGAUGCAAAUGACAAUUUGAAGGCCAUGAUGUAACUACACCAACAAGUUUGUGUGAAGAUGGAAGCUAUGAAUGACAUGUACAAACAGAAUUUCAACAUGCAUAGGAAACCACGUGUCUUACAAGAUGGUGACUUGGUUUGGGUGUAUAUGAGGAAAGAACGUUUUCCUAACAAAAGGAAGAACAAAAGUUGAUGCCAAGAGCUCAAGGUCCUUACAAAGUAAUGACACAUGUCAAUGAUAAUGCUUAUAAGGUGGAUCUGGGAGGAGACCCCGGAGUGCAUGCUACCUUUAAUGUGGGAGAGCUUUCAAUGUAUCUAGUUGAGGAUGGCCUUGAUGAAUUAAGGUCAUUUACUUUCAAAGAGGGAGGGGAGGAUCCAUGCAUGGCUCACGAAAAGCCGAAAAAGGUGAUGGACUAGUGAUUACUGCUAGGCUAGAAGGUGGUUUGUACGUAAUGGUUGGGUUGUGCAUGGUAACCUACGUAUUGAAUUAGGAUCGCAUGAAGGCUAGGGCAACAUUUAAAAGGCUUAAAUAGUGCUCAAAACCGUUACUUUUUGCUUCAUCAAGCCUUCUAGCCAUUCUUGAUACUCUUUGGUGGAUUUGGGUUACACUUUAUUGCUUCUUUUUGCUACUUAAUGGAGCAUGGACGCUUUUUUCAUUCAUUAGUGUGUCAGACGUUUUUUUGUGUGGUUUCAUGAGUUUCUUUAAUUUCCAUUAUUAGUUUUACUGAGUAGUUGGGUGGGUGGUUUGUAACCACCAACUUUGUUAUAAAGGCUUCAUAUAAGCCAAUUAUGCUUGGAAAAAAGAGAUAGAUGAAAUUUUAAUCAAAAGAACCUUUGUUCACUUUGAAUUAUAGUUAUAUUUCACUACUUGUCAUAGUCGAGAUGUGUUCUUAACUUGAUACGCAUUCAAACAACUAUUAUUUCUUGGAUAGUUUUCACGAGUAUACAACUUAGUAAGUCUUGAUUUGUUACUAAUCUAUCCAUUUUUUCCUAUACACCUAUCAUUUGUGGUUGUUAUUCUAGCUUAAUUUACCUAAACAUAGCCCCACUCACUUAAUCAAGCCCAUAAAGGCAGCAAAAGGCAAUCACCUUUGUGUCCGUAAACAUGCAAUAUGGGAGUUGCUGAUUCAUGAAGCUCAUGGUGGUGGUUUGGCGGGUCAUUUUUCCAUUAGCUAAACUUUGAAGGUGCUUUAAGAACAUUUCUUUUGGCCUAAAGAUGUUAGGGAUGUAACCAUGAUAGUGGGCAAGUGUGUUACAUGUCGGAUGACGAAAAAAACUUUCAAGCAUGGUGUUUACACUCCUUUGUCCUUUCCUAUUCGUCCUUGGCAAGAGGUGUCAAUGGAAUUCAGUAUGGCUUUUCCUAGAACUCAUAGGGGGAAGGAAUCCAUUAUAAUGGUGGUGGAUAGGUUUUCAAAAAUAGCUCACUUUAUGCCAUGUCAUAACACCAAUGAUUUAUCUAAUGUGUCUGAUUUGUACUUUAAAGAAGUGGUUCGCUUGCAUAUUAUUCGUAAAACUAUUGUUUAUGAUAGGGAUUCCUUGUUUUUGAGUUACAUUUGGAACACUUUGUGGAGGAAAGUUGGUACUAAGUUAUUUUUUAGUGCGUCCCAUCAUCCAUAAACUGACGGGCAAACGAAGGUGACUAAUCGAACUAUGGGUAUGUUGUUGAGGGGGUUGGUUAGCAAAACUCAAAAACAGUUGGACAUCAAACUUGCACAUGCUGAGUUUGCCUGUAAUCGUUCUCCUACUUAUGCUACAAGUCACUGUCCUUUAUAAGUGAUGUAUGGUGUGAAUGCUUACAAGCCUUUAUAGUUGAUUCCAUUUCUAAACGAUGAAUUGGUUCACAAGGAUGCUAAUGACAAGUUGAAGGCCAUGAUGAAACUACACCAACAAGUUCUUGUGAAGAUUGAACCCAUGAAUGAUGUGUACAAACAGAAUUCCAACAUGCAUAGGAAACCACGUGUCUUACAAGAUGGUGACGUGGUUUAGGCGCAUAUGAGGAAAGAACGUUUUGCUAACAAAAGGAAGAACAAAAGUUGAUGCCAAGAGCUGAAGGUCCUUACAAGCCUUUGUAAGUGGUGUAUGGUGUGAAUCCUUACAAGCCUUUGUAUAUUAUUCCAAUUCCAAACGAUGAAUUGGUUCACAAGGAUGCUAAGGACAAGUGGAAGGCCAUGACGAAACUACACAAAAAACUCGUGUGAAGAUUGAAGCCGUGAAUGACGUGUACAAACAGAAUUCCAACAUGCAUAGGAAACCAUGUGUCUUUCAAGAUGGUGACUUGGUUUAGGUGCAUAUGAGGAAAGAACGUUUACUUAAAAAAGGAAGAACUAAAGUUAAUGCCAAGAGCUGAAGGUGCUUACAAGCCUUUGUAUGUGGUGUAUGGUGUGANAAAGAACCUUUGUUCACUUUGAAUUAUAGUUAUAGUUCACUACUUGUCAUAGUCGAGACCUGUUCUUGACUUGAUAUGCAUUCAAACAAAUAUUAUGUCUUGGAUAGUUUUCACGGGUAUACAACUUAGUAGGUCUUGAUUUGUUACUAGUUUAUCCAUUUCUUCCCAUACACCUGUCAUUUGUGGUUUUUAUUCUAGCUUCAUUUACCUAAACACAGCCCCACUCACUUAAUCUAGCCCAUAAAGGCAUCAAAAGGCAAUCACCUUUGUGUCCCUAAACAUGCAAUACGGGAGUUGCUGAUUCGUGAAGCUCAUGGUGGUGGUUUGGCGGGUCAUUUUUCCAUUACCAAAACUUUGAAGGUGCUUUAAGAACAUUUCUUAUGGCCUAAAGAUGUUAGGGAUGUAACCAACAUAGUGGGCAAGUUUCUUACAUAUCGGAUGACGAAAAAAACUUUCAAGCAUGGUGUUUACACUCCUUUGUCGGUUCCUAUUCCUCCUUGGCAAGAAGUGUCAAUGAAAUUCAGUAUGGCUUUUCCUAGAACUAAAGGGGGGAAGGAAUCCAUUAUAGUGGUGGUGGAUAGGUUUUCAAAAAUGGUUCACUUUAUGCCAUGUCAUAAAACCAAUGAUUCAUCUAAUGUGUCUGAUUUGUACUUUAAAGAAGUGGUUCGCUUGCAUAUUAUUCGUAAAACUAUUGUUUCUGAUAGGGAUUCCUUGUUUUUGAGUUACAUUUGGAACACAUUGUGGAGGAAAGUUGGUACAAAGUUACUUUUUAGUACGUCCCAUCAUCCACAAACUGAUGGGCAAACGAAGGUGACUAAUAGAACUUUGGGUACGUUUAUUGAGGGGGUUGGUUAGCAAAACUCAAAAAUAGUUGGACAUCAAACUUGCACAGGCUGAGUUUGCAUGUAAUCGUUCUCCUAUUUAUGCUACAGGUCACUCUCCUUUAUAAGUGGUGUAUGGUGUGAAUCCUUACAAGCCUUUAUAUUUGAUUCCAUUUUCAAACAAUGAAUUGGUUCUCAAGGAUGCUAAUGACAUGUUGAAGGCCAUGAUGAAACUACACCAACAAGUUCAUGUGAAGAUUGAAUCCGUGAAUGACGUGUACAAACAGAAUUCCAACAUGCAUAGGAAACCACGUGUCUUUCAAGAUGGUGACUUGGUUCAGGUGCAUAUGAGGAAAGGACGUUUUCCUAACAAAAGGAAGAACAAAAGUUGAUGCUAAGAGCUGAAGGUCCUUACAAGCCUUUGUAAGUUGUGUAUGGUAUGAAUCCUUACAAGCCUUUGUAUAUUAUUCCAUUUCCAAACGAUGAAUUGGUUCACAAGGAUGCUGAUGACAAGUCGAAGGCCAUGACGAAACUACACCAACAAGCUCGUGUGAAGAUUGAAGCCGUGAAUGACGUGUACAAACAGAAUUCCAACAUGCAUAGGAAACCAUGUGUCUUUCAAGAUGGUGACUUGGUUUAGGUGCAUAUGAGGAAAGAACGUUUACUUAAAAAAGGAAGAACUAAAGUUAAUGCCAAGAGCUGAAGGUGCUUACAAGCCUUUGUAUGUGGUGUAUGGUGUGAAUCCUUAAAAUCCUUUGUAUUUUAUUCCGUUUCCAAACGAUGAAUUGGUUCACAAGGAUGCUAAUGACAAGUUGAAGGCAAUGAUGAAACUACACCAACAAGUUUGUGUGAAGAUUGAUUCCGUGAAUGACGUGUACAAACGGAAUUCCAACAUGCAUUGGAAACUACGUGUCUUACAAGAUGGUGACUUGGUUUAGGUGCAUAUGAGGAAAGAACGUUUUCCUAACAAAAGGAAGAACAAAAGUUGAUGCCAAGAGCUGAAGGUCCUUACAAGCCUUUGUAAGUGGUUUAUGGUGUGAAUCCUUACAAGCCUUUGUAUUUGAUUCCAUUUCCAAAUGAUGAAUUGGUUCACAAGGAUGCUAAUGACAAGUAGAAGGCCAUGACGAAACUAUACCAACAAGCUCGUGUGAAGAUUGAAUCCGUGAAUGACAUGUACACACAAAAUUCUAACAUGUAUAGGAAACCACGUGUCUUUCAAGUUGGUGACUUGGUUUAGGUGCAUAUGAGGAAAGAACGUUUUCCAAACAAAAGGAAGAACAAGUUGAUGCCAAGAGCUGAAGGUCCUUAUAAGCCUUCGUAAGUGGUGUAUGGUGUGAAUCCUUACAAGCCUUUGUAUUUGAUUCCAUUUCCAAAUGAUGAAUUGGUUCACAAGGAUGCAAAUGACAAUUUGAAGGCCAUGAUGUAACUACACCAACAAGUUUGUGUGAAGAUGGAAGCUGUGAAUGACAUGUACAAACAGAAUUCCAACAUGCAUAUGAAACCACGUGUCUUACAAGAUGGUGACUUGGUUUAGGUGCAUAUGAGGAAAGAAUAUUUUCCUAACAAAAGGAAGAACAAAAGUUGAUGCCAAGAGCUGAAGGUCCUUACAAAGUGGUGACACAUGUCAAUGAUAAUGCUUAUAAGGUGUAUCUGGGACGAGACCAUGGAGUGCAUGCUACCUUUAAUGUGGGAGACCUUUCAUGUAUCUUGUUGAGGAUGGCCUUGAUGAAUUAAGGUCAUUUCCUUUCAAAGAGGGAGGGGUGGAUCCAUGCAUGGCUCAUGAAAAGCCGAAAAAGGUGAUGGAUUAGUGAUUACUAGUAGGCUAGAAGGUGGUUUGUACUCAAUGGUUGGGUUGUGCAUGGUAACCUCUGUAUUGAAUUAGGGUCGCAUGAAGGCUAGGGCAACAUUUUAAAGGCUUAAUAAGUUCUCAAAACCAUUACUUUUGGCUUCAUCAAGCCUUUUAGCCAUUGUUGAUACUCUUCGGUGGAUUUGGGUUACAUUUUAAUGCUUCUUUUUGCUCCUUAAUGGAGCACGAACGCUUUUUUCAUUCAUUGGUGUGUCAGACGUUUUUUUGUGUGGUUUCAUGAGUUUCUUUAAUUUCCAUUAUUAGUUUUACUGAGUAGUUGGUUGGGUGGCUAGUAACCACCAACUUUGUUAUAAAGGCUUCAUAUAAGCCAAUUUUGCAUGGAAAAAAGAGAUAGAUGAAAUUUUAAUCAAAAUAACCUUUGUUCACUUUGAACUAUAGUUAUAGUUCACUACUUGUCAUAGUCGAGAUGUGUUCUUGACUUGAUACGCAUUCAAACAACUAUUAUUUCUUGGAUAGUUUUCACGAGUAUACAACUUAGUAAGUCUUGAUUUGUUACUAAUCUAUCCAUUUUUUCCUAUACACCUAUCAUUUGUGGUUGUUAUUCUAGCUUAAUUUACCUAAACAUAGCCCCACUCACUUAAUCAAGCCCAUAAAGGCAGCAAAAGGCAAUCACCUUUGUGUCCGUAAACAUGCAAUAUGGGAGUUGCUGAUUCAUGAAGCUCAUGGUGGUGGUUUGGCGGGUCAUUUUUCCAUUACCAAAACUUUGAAGGUGCUUUAAGAACAUUUCUUUUGGCCUAAAGAUGUUAGGGAUGUAACCAUGAUAGUGGGCAAGUGUGUUACAUGUCGGAUGACGAAAAAAACUUUCAAGCAUGGUGUUUACACUCCUUUGUCCUUUCCUAUUCGUCCUUGGCAAGAGGUGUCAAUGGAAUUCAGUAUGGCUUUUCCUAGAACUCAUAGGGGGAAGGAAUCCAUUAUAAUGGUGGUGGAUAGGUUUUCAAAAAUAGCUCACUUUAUGCCAUGUCAUAACACCAAUGAUUUAUCUAAUGUGUCUGAUUUGUACUUUAAAGAAGUGGUUCGCUUGCAUAUUAUUCGUAAAACUAUUGUUUAUGAUAGGGAUUCCUUGUUUUUGAGUUACAUUUGGAACACUUUGUGGAGGAAAGUUGGUACUAAGUUACUUUUUAGUACGUCCCAUCAUCCACAAACUGAUGGGCAAACGAAGGUGACUAAUAGAACUUUGGGUACGUUGUUGAGGGGGUUGGUUAGCAAAACUCAAAAACAGUUGGACAUCAAACUUACACAUGCUGAGUUUACGAGUAAUCAUUCUCCUACUUAUGCUAUAGGUCACUCCUUUAUAAGUGGUGUAUGGUGUGAAUCCUUACAAUCCAUUGUAUUUGAUUCCAUUUCCAAACGAUGAAUUGGUUCACAAGGAUGNAUGAAUUAGUUCACAAGGAUGCUAAUGACAAGUUUAAGGCCAUGCCGAAACUACACCAACAAGUUCUUGUGAAGAUUGAAGCCGUAAAUGACGUGUACAAAUAGAAUUCCAACAUGCAUAGGAAACCACGUGUCUUUCAAGAUGCUCACUUGGUUUAGGUGCGUAUGAGGAAAGAACGUUUUCUUAACAAAUGGAAGAACAAAAGUUGAUGCCAAGAGCUAAAGGUCCUUACAAGCCUUUAUAAGUGGUGUAUGGUGUGAAUCCUUNNNNNNNNNNNNNNNNNNNNNNNNNNNNNNNNNNNNNNNNNNNNNNNNNNNNNNNNNNNNNNNNNNNNNNNNNNNNNNNNNNNNNNNNNNNNNNNNNNNNAGUUGGUACUAAGUUACUUUUUAGUACAUCCCAUCAUCCACAAACCGAUGGGAAAACGAAGGUGAAUAAUAGAAUUUUGGGUAUGUUGUUGAGGGGGUUGGUUCGCAAAACUCAAAAACAGUUGGACAUCAAACUUGCACAUGCUGAGUUUGCCUGUAAUAGUUCUCCUACUUAUGCUACAGGACACUGUCCUUUAUAAAUGAUGUAUGGUGUGAAUCCUUACAAGCCUUUAUAUUUGAUUCCAUUUCCAAACGAUGAAUUGGUUCACAGGGAUACUAAUGACAAGUUGAAGGCCAUGAUGAAACUACACCAACAAGUUCUUGUGAAGAUUGAAGCCAUGAAUGACGUGUACAAAUAGAAUUCAACCAGGCAUAGGAAACCACCUGUCUUUCAAGAUGAUGACUUGGUUUAAGUGAAUAUGAGGAAAGAACGUUUUCGUAACAAAAGGAAGAACAAAAGUUGAUGCCAAGAGCUGAAGGUCCUUACAAGCCUUUGUAAGUGGUCUAUGGUGUGAAUCAUUACAAGCCUUUGUAUAUUAUUCAAUUUCCAAAUGAUGAAUUCGUUCACAAGGAUGCUAAUGACAAGUUGAAGGCCCUGACGAAACUACACCAACAAGCUCGUGUGAAGAUUGAAGCCGUGAAUGACGUGUACAAACAGAAUUCCAACAUGUAUAGGAAACAUCGUGUCUUUCAAGAUGGUGACUUGGUUUAGGUGCAUAUGAGGAAAGGACGUUUUCCAAAGAAAAGGAAGAACAAAAGUUGAUGCCAAAAGCUGAAGGUCCUUAUAAGCCUUCGUAAGUGGUGUAUGGUGUGAAUCCUUACAAGCCUUUGUAUUUGAUUCCAUUUCCAAAUGAUGAAUUGGUUCACAAGGAUGCAAAUGACAAUUUGAAGGCCAUGAUGUAACUACACCAACAAGUUUGUGUGAAGAUUGAAGCUGUGUAUGACGUGUACAAACAGAAUUCCAACAUGCAUAGGAAACCACGUGUCUUACAAGAUGGUGACGUGGUUUAGGCGCAUAUGAGGAAAGAACGUUUUGCUAACAAAAGGAAGAACAAAAGUUGAUGCCAAGAGCUGAAGGUCCUUACAAAGUGGUGACACAUGUCAAUGAUAAUACUUAUAAGGUUGAUCUGGGACGAGACCAUGGAGUGCAUGCUACCUUUAAUGUGGGAGACCUUUCACCGUAUCUUGUUGAGGAUGGCCUUGAUGAAUUAAGGUCAUUUCCUUUCAAAGAGGGAGGGGAGGAUCCAUGCAUGGCUCAUGAAAAGCCGAAAAAUGUGAUGGAUUAGUGAUUACUAGUAGGCUAGAAGGUGGUUUGUACUCAAUGGUUGGGUUGUGCAUGGUAACCUACGUAUUAAAUUAGGGUCGCAUGAAGGCUAGGGCAACAUUUUAAAGGCUUAAUAAGUGCUCAAAACUGUUACUUUUUGCUUCGUCAAGCCUUCUAGCCAUUGUUGAUACUCUUUGGUGGAUUUGGAUUACACUUUAAUGCUUCUUUUUGCUCCUUAAUGGAGCAUGGACACUUUUUUCAUUCAUCAGUGUGUCAGACGUUUUUUUGUGUGGUUUCAUGAGUUUCUUUAAUUUCCAUUAUUAGUUUUACUGAGUAGUUGGUUGGGUGGUUUGUAACCAACAACUUUGUAAUAAAGGCUUCAUAUAAGCCAAUUAUGCAUGGAAAAAAGAGAUAGAUGAAAUUUUAAUCAAAAGAACCUUUGUUCACUUUGAAUUAUAGUUAUAGUUCACUACUUGUCAUAGUCGAGACCUGUUCUUGACUUGAUAUGCAUUCAAACAAAUAUUAUGUCUUGGAUAGUUUUCACGGGUAUACAACUUAGUAGGUCUUGAUUUGUUACUAGUUUAUCCAUUUCUUCCCAUACACCUGUCAUUUGUGGUUUUUAUUCUAGCUUCAUUUACCUAAACACAGCCCCACUCACUUAAUCUAGCCCAUAAAGGCAUCAAAAGGCAAUGACCUUUGUGUCCCUAAACAUGCAAUACGGGAGUUGCUGAUUCGUGAAGCUCAUGGUGGUGGUUUGGCGGGUCAUUUUUCCAUUACCAAAACUUUGAAGGUGCUUUAAGAACAUUUCUUUUGGCCUAAAGAUGUUAGGGAUGUAACCAUGAUAGUGGGCAAGUGUGUUACAUGUCGGAUGACGAAAAAAACUUUCAAGCAUGGUGUUUACACUCCUUUGUCCUUUCCUAUUCGUCCUUGGCAAGAGGUGUCAAUGGAAUUCAGUAUGGCUUUUCCUAGAACUCAUAGGGGGAAGGAAUCCAUUAUAAUGGUGGUGGAUAGGUUUUCA
rnacentral:lncRNA from 1 species